UUUAGUGGCUGCCAAAAAGAUCAUUGCUUAUCCACAGGUUUGGAAAGGCCAAGGAUCAAGGAAAUGGAAACAUGCACAGAGUGAUGGUUUCUUUGUUCAAUUUGAGUCUCCUUCCGUCCGAAAAUUGUGGUUUAUUCUCAGUUCAAAUGAAAAGGGACAGACACUUUGCAGCUGAGGCCAUACUUCUUGGUUUUCAACAUUAUCUUGUGAUGCUGGGAACAACCGUGUUAAUUCCUACUUCUCUCGUUCCUCAGAUGGGAGGUGGCAAUGAGGAGAAAGCUAAAGUUAUCCAAACACUAGAGUUAAAUUUUAUACUCGUGUUUUAUUUGUUACAAACAGUCCAGUGGAGCUUUUAUUGUUGUUUAUCGGUUCGCAAGUGCAACACCAUUACCACCAACAAUUCUUAGUCGGGGUAUUGGUUGGCAGGGUGUUGGCAUUCUGUUAUCAGGAUUGUUUGGAACCGACAUUGGAUCUUCUGUAUCUGUAGAAAAUGCUGGUCUUUUGGCUUUGACACGUGUUGGCAGUCGAAGAGUGGUGCAAAUAUCCGCCGGGUUUAUGAUUUUCUUUUCAAUUUUAGGAAAAUUUGGAGCAGUAUUCGCAUCCAUCCCCCCUCCCAUUGUUGCAGCACUAUACUGCUUGUUCUUUGCUUAUGUUGGUAUGUCUGAUAUCACAUAUAAUCACAAGUCAUUAAACUGUUUCUUCCUUGUAGAAUUUAUAUUUUUGAGAGUCGAGUCAUGGUUUAGAGAACACACUACAAAACAUUAAACUGUUUCUUCCUUGUAGAAUUUAUCUAUAUAAUACACUUCAACUUGAAAGGGGGCCUUUAAGAUCCUAUGAAGGUGGUACUUUAUCAUCUCAUAUGAAGGUGAUAAUUUUGCUUGUAACCUAAUUUUCUUUGCAUUCAGUUUCUUUCGAGUCCCGACUUUAUCUCUGUCCGAUGUAUGCAAUUCUAGUCUGCAAUUAGCCCUGAUGCAUUGAACAUAGGUAGCGGUUCUAAGGAAGGAAAUAUAUAUAUUUCGAAGGUUACAUAUCUUACUUUCACAGUUUCACUAAGCUACUAUAAGUUUGGCACUUGGAUUGCAGUAGGGAUGGAAUUUAACUGAACUUUCAAACAACAGGUCAACAAGCCUCAUGAACAACCUACUAUUUUGUUUCCGCGCGAUGGAGAAAAUGCAUCCUUAGUUGACUGGUAAAUUAAAAAAUAAGAUUGGUUUUAGUUCUCUUUGAUAUAUGAAUUAUGAGUUACUUAUUUCUUUGGCAGGUCCUUCUCCGAGUUUGGAAAAUAAGCAACUGCUGGUGAACACAUAGUUCGAAUAUGGGAUCAAGAUCAUCCAGAAAUGGAAUAAAGAAGUUUAAAUUCCAGGAAGAAAAUCAUCUGUUGAGUUUAUUACUAUCAAAUUUUUGUGUAGUUUGUUAUGACAUUGGGUGUAAUUAUAGGAUCAGGAGUAGUAAUGUAGCAGGAACAUAUGGCAGUAGAAUUUUGGAGUUGUGUUGCCUUGAUUAUUGAGGCAUUAAUAAGUUUCAGUUGUGUGGUAAUUGAAACUAUAGUUGUAUCUUGACUUUUUUUCAUGGGCCCAUUUUAAUAAAUUGAAACUAUAGCAUA